GGAAGGAUCAUUACAGAAUAAACUUGAUGGGUUGUAGCUGGCUCUCUUGGGAGCAUGUGCACGCCUGUCACCUUUAUCUUUCCACCUGUGCACCCUUUGUAGACUUGGAAUUUCAAACUAUCUGUGAGGUUUUCAAAAGCCUUCAGUUUGAGGGAUUGCUGUGCCCCCAACGGUCAGCUUCUCUUGUGGUUCCAAGCCUAUGUUUUUCAUACACCCUUAGUAUGUCUUAGAAUGUAUUCAAAGGCCUCAGUGCCUAUAAACUCUAUACAACUUUCAGCAACGGAUCUCUUGGCUCUCGCAUCGAUGAAGAACGCAGCGAAAUGCGAUAAGUAAUGUGAAUUGCAGAAUUCAGUGAAUCAUCGAAUCUUUGAACGCACCUUGCGCUCCUUGGUAUUCCGAGGAGCAUGCCUGUUUGAGUGUCAUUGAAUUCUCAACCUUAUCAUCUUUGAUGGCAAGGCUUGGACUUGGGGGUUUUGCGGGCUUCAACCUUUUUGAAGUCGGCUCCCCUUAAAUGAAUUAGCCGGAAAACCCUUGUGGACCCCGUCUAUUGGUGUGAUAAUUAUCUACGCCGCAGCAUGGGACCGCACUUUGUAAUGGGAUUUCUGCUUCCAACCGUCCUUUAGGGACAAUUAUAUGACUAUUUGACCUCAAAUCAGGUAGGACUACCCGCUGAACUUAAGCAUAUCAAUAAGCGGAGGAAAAGAAACUAACAAGGAUUCCCCUAGUAACUGCGAGUGAAGCGGGAAAAGCUCAAAUUUAAAAUCUGGCGGUCUUUGGCUGUCCGAGUUGUAAUCUAGAGAAGUGUUAUCCGUGCUGGAC
rnacentral:rRNA from 1 species